rnacentral:misc_RNA from 1 species
GAUGAAGAACGCAGCAAAAUGCGAUAAGUAAUGUGAAUUGCAGAAUUCAGUGAAUCAUCGAAUCUUUGAACGCACAUUGCGCCCGUCAGUAUUCUGGCGGGCAUGCCUGUUCGAGCGUCAUUACGCCCCUCAAGUCCCCUGUGGACUUGGUGUUGGGGAUCGGCGAGGCUGGUUUUCCAGCACAGCCGUCCCUUAAAUUAAUUGGCGGUCUCGCCGUGGCCCUCCUCUGCGCAGUAGUAAAACACUCGCAACAGGAGCCCGGCGCGGUCCACUGCCGUAAAACCCCCCAACUUUUUAUAGUUGACCUCGAAUCAGGUAGGACUACCCGCUGAACUUAAGCAUAUCAAUAAGCGGAGGA